AACGAACGCUGGCGGCGUGCCUCAGACAUGCAAGUCGAACGAUUAAAGCUCUCUUCGGAGAGUGCAUAGAGUGGCGCACGGGUGAGUAACACGUAAGUAAUCUACCUUCGAGUGGGGAAUAACGUCCGGAAACGGACGCUAAUACCGCAUAAUGCAGCGGCAUCGUAAGAUGACAGUUGUUAAAGAUUUAUCGCUUGAAGAGGAGCUUGCGGCAGAUUAGCUAGUUGGUAAGGUAAUGGCUUACCAAGGCUACGAUCUGUAACCGGUCUUAGAGGACGGUCGGUCACACUGACACUGAAUAACGGGUCAGACUCCUACGGAGGCAGCAGUCGGGAAUUUUGGGCAAUGGGCGAAAGCCUGACCCAGCAACGCCGCGUGAAGGAUGAAGUAUUUCGGUAUGUAAACUUCGAAAGAAUAGGAAGAAUAAAUGACGGUACUAUUUAUAAGGUCCGGCUAACUACGUGCCAGCAGCCGCGGUAAU
rnacentral:rRNA from 1 species